UACGGAGGAUGCGAGCGUUAUCCGGAUUUAUUGGGUUUAAAGGGUGCGCAGGCGGCACGGCAAGCCGGCGGUCAAAUCGCGGGGCUCGACCCCGCCCAGCCGUCGGAACUGCCGGGCUAGAGUGGGCGAGAAGUGCGCGGAAUGCGUGGUGUAGCGGUGAAAUGCAUAGAUAUCACGCAGAACUCCGAUUGCGAAGGCAGCGCACCGGCGCCCUACUGACGCUCAGGCACGAAAGCGUGGGUAUCGAACAGG
rnacentral:rRNA from 1 species